rnacentral:rRNA from 1 species
GUAGGAGUCUGGACCGUGUCUCAGUUCCAGUGUGACUGAUCAUCCUCUCAGACCAGUUACGGAUCGUCGCCUUGGUAGGCCUUUACCCCACCAACUAGCUAAUCCGACCUAGGCUCAUCUGAUAGCGUGAGGUCCGAAGAUCCCCCACUUUCUCCCUCAGGACGUAUGCGGUAUUAGCGCCCGUUUCCGGACGUUAUCCCCCACUACCAGGCAGAUUCCUAGGCAUUACUCACCCGUCCGCCGCUGAAUCCAGGAGCAAGCUCCCUUCAUCCGCUCGACUUGCAUGUGUUAGGCCUGCCGCCAGCGUUCAAUCUGAGCCAGGAUCAAACCCUC